UACGGGGGGGAGCAAGCGUUGUUCGGAUUUACUGGGCGUAAAGGGCGCGUAGGCGGCCUCUGCAAGUCGACUGUGAAAUCUCCGGGCUUAACCCGGAAAGGUCAGCCGAUACUGCAGGGCUAGAGUGCAGAAGGGGCAACUGGAAUUCUCGGUGUAGCGGUGAAAUGCUUAGAUAUGACAUAGAACACCGAUAGCGAAGGCAGCUUACUACAGGAUGAUUGACGCUGAGGCACGAAAGCGUGGGGAGCAAACAGG
rnacentral:rRNA from 1 species